rnacentral:rRNA from 1 species
UUUAAUUGAAGAGUUUGAUCAUGGCUCAGAUUGAACGCUGGCGGCAGGCCUAACACAUGCAAGUCGGGCGGUAACAGGGAGAAGCUUGCUUCUCUGCUGACGAGCGGCGGACGGGUGAGUAAUGUAUGGGGAUCUGCCUGAUGGCGGGGGAUAACUACUGGAAACGGUAGCUAAUACCGCAUAAUGUCUUCGGACCAAAGCGGGGGACCU